rnacentral:rRNA from 1 species
UACGGAGGGAGCUAGCGUUGUUCGGAAUUACUGGGCGUAAAGCGCGCGUAGGCGGCUUUGUAAGUUAGAGGUGAAAGCCCGGGGCUCAACUCCGGAACUGCCUUUAAGACUGCAUCGCUUGAAUCCGGGAGAGGUGAGUGGAAUUCCGAGUGUAGAGGUGAAAUUCGUAGAGAUGUGGAGGAACACCAGUGGCGAAGGCGACUUUCUGGGCUGUAACUGACGCUGAGGCGCGAAAGCGUGGGGAGCAAACAGG